CAGCAGCCGCGGUAAUACGUAGGGUGCGAGCGUUAAUCGGAUUUACUGGGCGUAAAGCGUGCGCAGGCGGCCCGUUAAGACAGGUGUGAAAUCCCUGGGCUCAACCUAGGAAUUGCGCUUGUGACUGGCGGGCUCGAGUACGGUAGAGGGGGGUGGAAUUCCUGGUGUAGCGGUGAAAUGCGUAGAGAUCAGGAGGAACACCGAUGGCGAAGGCAGCCCCCUGGGCCUGUACUGACGCUCAUGCACGAAAGCGUGGGGAGCAAACAGGAUUAGAUACCCUGUAGUCCCUGUCUCUUAUACC
rnacentral:rRNA from 1 species